rnacentral:rRNA from 1 species
CCAAUAGCGUAUAUUAAAGUUGUUGCAGUUAAAAAGCUCGUAGUUGAAUUUCGGGGUCAGUAGGUUGGUCGUGCCACUGGUAUGUACUGGUCUCACUGAUUCCUCCUUCCUGAUGAGCCGUAAUGCCAUUAAUUUGGUGUUGCGGGGAAUCUGGACUGUUACUUUGAAAAAAUUAGAGUGUUUAAAGCAGGCUAACGCUUGAAUACAUUAGCAUGGAAUAAUGAAAUAGGACGUUCGAUCCUAUUUUGUUGGUUUCUAGGAUUGACGUAAUGAUUAAUAGGGAUAGUUGGGGGCAUUAGUAUUCAAUUGUCAGAGGUGAAAUUCUUGGAUUUAUUGAAGACUAACUACUGCGAAAGCAUUUGCCAAGGAUGUUUUCAUUAAUCAAGAACGAAAGUUAGGGGAUCGAAGACGAUCAGAUACCGUCGUAGUCUUAACCAUAAACUAUGCCGACUAGGGAUCGGAUGAUGUUAAUUUUUUAAUGACUCAUUCGGCGCCUUACG